GGAAGCUCCACAACGACUGUUACGGAGACAUUUAACUUACUAAAAAAUCAUCCCAAAUCAAACCUUCCGACGAAUCAUCGGCCAUCGAUAUAGCUCAAAUCCAUAAGAAAUGAAAUGGCAGAU